rnacentral:rRNA from 1 species
UACGCCCGGGAUAACAGGCUGAUCUCCCCCAAGAGCUCACAUCGACGGGGGGGUUUGGCACCUCGAUGUCGGCUCGUCACAUCCUGGGGCUGGAGACGGUCCCAAGGGUUGGGCUGUUCGCCCAUUAAAGUGGUACGCGAGCUGGGUUCAGAACGUCGCGAGACAGUUUGGUCCCUAUCUGCCGUGGGCGUUGGAAAUUUGAAGGGGGCUGCUCCUAGUACGAGAGGACCGGAGUGGACGAACCGCUAGUGUACCUGUUGUGUGGUCGCAUGCAUCGCAGGGUAGCUAUGUUCGGAAGUGAUAAGCCGCUGAACGCAUCUAAGCGCGAAGCACGCUCCAAGAUAAGUAUUCCCUAUGAGCCUCCUGGAAGACGACCAGGUUGAUAGGCGGCAGGUGUACGCAUGGUAACAUGUUUAGCCGAGCCGUACUAAUUAGGCCAUUGGCUUUG